rnacentral:rRNA from 1 species
UGGGGAAUUUUGGACCAUGGGGGAAACCCUGAUCCAGCCAUCCCGCGUGUGCGAUGAAGGCCUUCGGGUUGUAAAGCACUUUUGGCAGGAAAGAAACGUCAUGGGUUAAUACCCCGUGAAACUGACGGUACCUGCAGAAUAAGCACCGGCUAACUACGUGCCAGCAGCCGCGGUAAUACGUAGGGUGCAAGCGUUAAUCGGAAUUACUGGGCGUAAAGCGUGCGCAGGCGGUUCGGAAAGAAAGAUGUGAAAUCCCAGAGCUCAACUUUGGAACUGCAUUUGUAACUACCGGGCUAGAGUGUGUCAGAGGGAGGUGGAAUUCCGCGUGUAGCAGUGAAAUGCGUAGAUAUGCGGAGGAACACCGAUGGCGAAGGCAGCCUCCUGGGAUAACACUGACGCUCAUGCACGAAAGCGUGGGGAGCAAACAGG